UAUCAUGCAGUCGAGCGGACCGAAGGGAGCUUGCUCCUUUAGAUUAGCGGCGGACGGGUGAGUAACACGUGGGCAACCUGCCCUGCAGACUGGGAUAACUUCGGGAAACCGGAGCUAAUACCGGAUAACACCGAAAACCGCAUGGUUUUCGGUUGAAAGGCGGCUUUUAGCUGUCACUGCAGGAUGGGCCCGCGGCGCAUUAGCUAGUUGGUGAGGUAACGGCUCACCAAGGCGACGAUGCGUAGCCGACCUGAGAGGGUGACCGGCCACACUGGGACUGAGACACGGCCCAGACUCCUACGGGAGGCAGCAGUAGGGAAUCUUCCGCAAUGGACGAAAGUCUGACGGAGCAACGCCGCGUGAGCGAAGAAGGUCUUCGGAUCGUAAAGCUCUGUUGUCAGGGAAGAACAAGUGCCGUUCGAACAGGGCGGUACCUUGACGGUACCUGACGAGGAAGCCACGGCUAACUACGUGCCAGCAGCCGCGGUAAU
rnacentral:rRNA from 1 species